rnacentral:lncRNA from 1 species
UUGCCUCUUCUGCAGAUCUGUUGGGGGACGACGAUCCCUCCGCCGCGGGAUGGAUGAUACCGGCAAUGAGAUCCGGCUGCAGGGGGACCAUCGCCGAGUGCCUGGCCGGCGGAGACGACGAGUUCGAGCUCGAAAGGCGCAGUGCAGCAGCGAGCGGAGGAGCGGCGAGCGCGCGGAAAGGCGCAGUGCAGCGGCGCCGCUCAGAGGCGACGCGUUUUCCCAGGC